rnacentral:rRNA from 1 species
GACGAACGCUGGCGGCGGGCUUAACACAUGCAAGUCGAACGGAAAGGCCCUGCUUGUGUGGUGUGCUCGAGGGGCGAACGGGUGAGUAACACGUGAGUAACCUGCCCUUGACUUUGGGAUAACUUCAGGUAACUGGGGCUAAUACCGGAUAGGAGCUCCUGCUGCAUGGAGGGGGUUGGAAAGUUUCGGCGGUGGUGGAUGGACUCGCGGCUUAUCAGCUAGUUGGUGGGGUAGUGGCUUACCAAGGCAUUGAAGGGUAGCCCGCCUGAGAGGGUGACCGGGCACCUUGGGACUGAGAGACGGCCCAGACUCCAACGGGAGGCAGCAGUGGCGAAUCUUGCCCAAUGGGCGGAAGCCUGAUGCAGCAACGCCGCGUGCGGAAUGACGUCCUUCGGGUUAUGAACCGCUUUCGCCUGUGACGAAGCGUGAGUGACGGUAAUGGGUAAAGAAGCACCGGCUAACUACGUG